AACGAACGCUGGCGGCAUGCCUAACACAUGCAAGUCGAACGAGACCUUCGGGUCUAGUGGCGCACGGGUGCGUAACGCGUGGUAACCUGCCCUUAGGUUCGGAAUAACUCCCCGUAAGGGGUGCUAAUACCGGAUAAUUUCUUCGGACCAAAGAUUUAUCGCCUUUGGAUGGGCCCGCGUUGGAUUAGCUAGUUGGUAGGGUAAAAGCCUACCAAGGCGACGAUCCAUAGCUGGUCUGAGAGGAUGAUAAGCCACACUGGGACUGAGACACGGCCCAGACUCCUACGGGAGGCAGCAGUGGGGAAUAUUGGAAAAUGGGCGAAAGCCUGAUCCAGCAAUGCCGCGUGAGUGAUGAAGGCCUUAGGGUUGUAAAGCUCUUUUAAACGGGAUGAUAAUGACAGUACCGGGAGAAUAAGCUCCGGCUAACUCCGUG
rnacentral:rRNA from 1 species